rfam:Schistosoma mattheei strain Denwood, Zambia genome assembly, scaffold: SMTD_scaffold0013047
AUCCAGCUGACGAGUUCCAAAUCGGACGAGGCACGUGUCCUGGAU